rnacentral:lncRNA from 1 species
UUUUUUUUUCCACCUAGAGUGUGAAUCGAAUGAAAGGCUUGGGAAGGCAUUGUGCCUUUUGUAUUCGGCCUUCGGGCAUGGGCUAAGGUUGGGUAAAUCAACCCUUCUUAGAUUAUCUCUGUGUUUCUCUUUUAAAAUCAAAUCAACAAGCUUUCUCCUCUAUGCGCAUCUUGUGAGUGUUGAUUCAACUUGGCCGACCAAAGGGAUUAGCUGCAGCUAGUAAUCUCCUUAAUUGUUCAAGGAUUUCAAGGAAGGAACCAACCUCCUUCUUGUGCUAUUUUCAAGAUAAGUUGCAGCUAAUAAUCUUUGGCUUGUGUCAAAAGGAGUCUAAGUGUGCUGAGCAUCCAAAUCAACUCGGCGUUGCCUACCCUCGGUCGAGGCAGCAUUACCAAAUUCAAGGGCGGACGCCAAGGAGCAAAUGAACCCUAGUGGUGUGCGCGUGGCCCACCGACGCACCCCACCACAUUGAUCCUAGGAGGGGUUCAAGAUGGUCGUUAUGGUGUUCUAGGAGCAGUCUCAGACCAAUCUUGUUACGACCACCCACCCUGUCUUUCCAAAAUCUUCCACUAUUUAUGAUCAUUUAUAAUUAUUUAAUAUUAAGACCUGGUUUUGUAGGAAAAAAACAUCUGGGCAUGAAGGCAUUAAGUAGGGUACUCUACACGCUGAUUUUUAGAACGACGUGUAGGACAGUACAUACUAUGUCUGAGUUGUCACCGUUGAGGUAAAAAUUUAUGUAAUGAUGUUGGUUUUGCAACAUUUGUUGCAUGGUUACUGAUUAAUUUUUGGUAUGAAUAUAUAAAUAUAUAUGUUUUUAUAAGCAUAUCGAACAUCGAUGAUUUUGGUGAUUUGGAAUAUGAUGUAGUUGUUUUGAAUUUGGCCAGAAAUAUAAUAUGAAAUUAUGUUUUCUUUGGCCCAAAUAAAAUUGAAUAAUUUGAUUGCAGAAUAAAAGGAUUUAUAUUAGCCAUGUUAUGGAUUGUCAAUUACUGGCUGCAUCAUAACACUUUGGUUUGCUGCCAUGGGCUGAAGCAUGGGUAUUUUGGAUUUCUAAUCUCGGGCCAAAUCAUGGCACUAUGGUUUGCCACCAUGGACUGAGGCAUGGUUAUUAUGGUUGCACCAUAGGCUGAAGUGGGGCAUUAUGGUUUGCCGCCACAAGCCAAAGUAUGGCAUUAUGGUUUGCCACCACGGGGCAAAGCAUGGCAUUAUGGUUUGCCGUCAUGGGCUGAAGCAUGACAUUAUGGUUUGUUAGUCACGGGUUGAAGUGUGAUCGUGGAUAGUCCAAAUUAAAAAGAUAAUUAUUGAUUGAAAAUCUGGAUAGUAAUGAAUGAUAAGAUAUACGAAACUGUUAGAUUGAUGAUAUAUCUAAUAUGUUUCCUUGAAAUAGAUAUAUAUUUAAUGAUGUAUAUUUGUGUCUAUAUAUAGAUGGAUUUAUUUGAGCCUAUGCUGAAUAGUUGGUACGGGAUUUUAUAAUUUUUUUCUACAUUUGAUAUAAUUUGUAGCUAAACUUUUUUUAAAUUUACUUUAUCUAUAUUGAUGUGAGUGUGGAGAAUUUUUGUUGGGUUGUAAAGCUCACACAGUCUUUUCUCUUUUUCUUUUGGAGUUGCAGGACGUGUAGUCUCGAUUGGGUUAGGGAUAGAGUUCGAGCAAUGAAGUUAUUAGUUAGAAAGUUGAUUUUUCUUUUAAAUACCAAAUGAAUAUUUGAAUUUUGUAAUGCAGUAAAUUUAGUUAGACUGUGUGAUGGAUUUAUUUAGUUAGACUAUUAUGGUUAAAUUUUAUAAUAAUUUAAUUAUUUUGGUGUUCUUGGAAGUUUCAUACAUCUUAUAGGCCAUGCAUGAUCCCUCGGGCAUCGAUUUAGGGCUCAUAUGGCUAUGUCACAUGGUUGACCUAGGUGAUAGGUUCAGAGCGUGAUAAUUAUCCACAUGAGAGAAGGAUAUGUUUACAACGUGAAGGUAAGAAAUAGCACUAAAUAAACAAAUUAAAAAUUUGGUGGUCUUGAAUGUUUUUGAGUUAUCUGGUAUCUAUUUCUAGGUUUCAAGCAAAUUUUUUUUUUUUACUUUUUUCCUUCAAAAAUAUUUAUUAUUUAUUUUAUAUGUCAUUUUUAGUUUUUAAUUUUGCUUGAAUUUGUAUUUUUAAUAAUUUCUUAUCUUAUAUAUCUUGUUUUUUGUGUUUAUAUUUACUAUUCAACCAUGCAUUUUUUACAAUUUUAUUUUACUUCUAUUUCACAUUUAACUUUUAUCUUAUUAAAUUUUAGUUCAAUUUAUUUCUAAUAAUGUCUUUUUUCUAUCAUUUCCUAUAUUUUGAUUAUUCUAUUUUAAUCUUCUUCUUUUUCCAUAUUUUAAUUUACUUUACAUUUUCUAAUUUAUGUUAUUUUUAUUUUCUUCUAAUUCAUUUCUUGAUCAAUUAUUUAUAUUAUUUUAUGCAUUCAAUUUGUCAUUUUCUUUGUUUGCAUAUUAGAUGAUAUAUUUCAAAUGAAAAAAUAACAACAUAUUUAACUUAUUUUGAUUAUUCUAUUUUUUUCCAAGCAUGCAUGGCAAAUGCACUUUUGCUACUAUUGAAUAAAUAUCCUAAUGCUAUAAUAUAAAUAUAUGUAGAAGGGGUAGUGAUAUGGCCUAAAACAACCCAUCUAUCAUGGGUUGACAAGUGGCAAGCAAUUUCAAAUGGAUUUAAAUCCUAGAUGGAAUAGUAACAGCUCCACAAUUAAGAGAAUUUAGAUAAGGAAUGAGGUUAUGACUCAUAAGGAAGGAUAGUUAUGGCUUAUCCCUUGAUUUCCGCCUUCAAUCAUAACUUUCCCCUUAUAUGAAUAGAGCCAACAGAACCCAAAGGGACAAGCUCUUAUAGCUAGAAGCUCUUAUAGCUGGAAGCUUUCAUAGCCCAUCCAUUAGCUAAUCGAUCAUUAUAUUCUUUUUUCUUGUAGGUCUAUGAGUUAACAUCUUGCAGGUCAAUGAACUGUCAAGGUCGAGGUGUGAAGGCUGACUUGAGAAAGACCAAGGUAAGAAGGCCGAGAUGAGAAGGCCGAGGUGAGAAGGUCGAGGUGAGAAGGCUGACUUGAGAAGGCCGAGGCGAGAUGGCCGACCUAUGAAGGCCGAGGUAAUAAGGCCGACCUGUGAAGGCCAAGGUGAGAAGGCCGACUUAAGAAGGCUGAAGUGAGAAGGCCGAGGUAAGAAGGCUGAGGUGAGAAAGGCUAGCUAACCAGACUGACCUAUCUUGGCCAAGCUAUCUAGCAGCCCAAGGCACCAAGUACACAAAUCAAAAUAUUCUACACUACUCUUAUGUUUCUCUUAUAUUUUCUAUCUCCUAUUGUUAUUCCAAAGCCCUUCCUGACUUAGGCACCAGAGUGCGUGAUCGGAGCCAAUCUGGCAAGCCUUUCUUUUCUUAUUGUGUGCAGAUCAUCAUCUCUCCAUAAUAGAUCAGCGCUUCAUUUACCAGUGCAGCAGAUCGAUCAAUGCCCUCCUCGUCUCUAAAUCACCAGACCGAAUUUUGAGCAUCAAUAGAUUGGUGCCAUCUAUGGGAAACAAAAAAUAUUCCAUCUUCUUUGUUUGCUAGAUCUAAGCAUUGGCAAUGAUCUCAUGGUUGAUGCAUCCGCGAGCACCUCAGUGUAUCACAUGAGCCUAUAAUCGGUAUUUCGAUAUGUCAUGUGUGAAAAUUGAUUUAUGAUCUAACCAUUUAUAAGUGGUUUCUGUUUCCACUCAAAACCUAACCUGACAGGUGGAUAAGCUGACGAGCGAUAUUGCUUUGCUCUGUCGGGCUGGAGUAAUGUUCUCAAUUUUCAAUUUUUUGAGUUGUUACAAACUUUUUCUGACUUAGUUUUUGUCUUUGCAAAUAUGAUGGACAAAUCUAUGGUAUGGAAGGCGGCCAUUGCCAAGUGCAAGGUGGCGAUGGAGAGUGGCCCGUCAUUGUUCCCCAAAGGGCCACUUGACGCUUCCCCCUCUCGCUUGGGUCGAGUGCAGCUACAACUGCCUUGGCCCCUCAAGCCAGUCGGUAUCCAUCUAGAGCCCUCCAAGCAGACCUCAGUAUGCAGAUCCUGUUGACUCCUUGGUCCGUUCCUCCCAAGGCACCUAAACCUUCCUCGAUCCCAACUUCCAAGGAGGAGGUCCACUACCCCAGUAGAACCUUCAAGUCUUUUUCCUCAACUCUGAUGGACCCAAAGGUGUCUUGGGAUCUGAUUAAGGGGAUUGUCCUCCUUGCUGAUUGGAAUAGGCUAGAGGAUAGGAAAUGGGAGCCUUUUUGAUGAGGCCUGCCAUGAAGGUAAGCACCACCUUAUGUUCUAUAGAUCUUUCAUCAAGCUAUUUUAUCGCUAACAACUGUCUUCUCCUUUAGAGCACUGUCCACAUUGUGCGCAUUCAUGAGUGGCAUCGUCAGCUCUAGCAGCAUGCUAGGAAAAUGGAGCAGAAGUCGGAUGAGGAGAAAAAGAGAAUGGUUGAGCUGGAGGCAUAGUUGAAGGCCACCUUUUUCUGAGGAACAGAUCCUCUGAGCUGUGGAGGCAUACAAGGCCUCAUAGAAAUUUUAGAAGGACCUUGCCUCUGCCUCUAUCGACUCCUAUCUGCACAGUAUUUAAGACUGUCUGCAUUCAGCAAAGAGGCUCUUCCUUAAGUUCGACUUCAACUGUAUUGCCCCACCCGAGGAUGAUGAUGAUGAGGAAUCUAAGAAGUAGGAGGAAGAUGAGGCCGAGGUAGUAGAAUGGGAGGAGGGUACAACUAAGCAGAUGCAAUGGGCGAAGGGUCCGUUGAUCCCCCCCAUGCUUGUUGUCGACCUUCCUCUGGUGGAUUUGUAUGGGUGUUUUGGAUAGAAAGCAUCCGGAUGAUUAGGCCAGGCAUAUUUCGGUGGUCGUUGUGAGACUAAUCCGAUAUUUCAUUCGUGAUUGAUGAUUUAGCAUUCUUGCUAGGCCUAUGGGGAUAAUAGAUUUGUCAACCCUAAAGGAUGAAUUUUGAUGAUUACAAAACACUUGAGAUAAUGUUGUGUACUAAUG